GCAUUUGACGUAGUGAUUAAGACACUUAAGUCCUCCCUUGGAGUACCUGGGUUUAAAUCCUAGCUCUGCUUCUGAUUCCAGCUUCCUGCUAGUGUAGACCCUGAGAGGCGGCAGUGAUGGCUCACUUGCCAUCCACACAGGGUUGAAUUCCUGACUCUUGGCUUUGGCCUGGCCUAGACCUGGACAUAGUGGGCAUUUGGGGAGUGAACCAGAAGUGGGAGCUCUCCCUAUCUGUCUGUCUAUCUGCUUCAAUAAUAAUAAUAAUAAUAAUAAUAAUUUCAAAUCUAAAGCCAUUUAGGAAAUACUUGCUAAGGUAUUAGCUAUCAAAAAUUGCAUCAUUUGACAUUUUUCCAAGUCCAAAUGCAUACCUCAUCAUGGCCACAUUCUUGGUAAACAGGUAAACACCUUCCCACUGGGAUCCCAACUGCAGAUCUUUUCUUUUCUUCUUCUUUCUUCUUUUUUUUUUUUUUUUUGACAGGCAGAGUGGACAGUGAGAGAGAGAGAGAGAGAGAGAGAGAGAAAGGUCUUCCUUUUCCAUUGGUGCACCGCCCCCCCCCCCCCCAAUGGCCGCUGCGGCCAGCACACCCGCUGAUCCAAAGCCAGGAGCCAGGUGCUUCUCCUGGUCUCCCAUGGUGUGCAGGGUCCAAGCACCUGGGCCAUCCUCCACUGCCCUCCCAGGCCACAGCAGACAGCCAGACUGGAAGAGGAGCAACCGGGACAGAAUCCAGCGCCCCAACCGGGACUAGAAUGUGUGGCGCCGGCGCCGCAGGUAGAGGAUUAGCCUAGUGAGCUGCGGCACCGGCCUCCAACCACAGGUCUUACAAGCACAUGCCUGUUGAAGUUUGUGAUGACUGGCUGCUUGAGAGCAGACCCCUCUCCGUAAGUGAUGUCACAGUUGAUUUGGAAGUACGACUGCCUGGGGCCAGGCUGAGAUAGGGCCACUCCGGGCCCAGGAGCUGGCAGUGGGGCUGGAGCUGGAGAUGAUGGCCAACAGGUCCAGCAGACUGGCCGGAGCCUGCCCUAGGAAAUGCAUACCUCCCCACUCGAGGAGGCAGAGCUGUCUGAGGCCGAGUCUGUGUGCCUGCACCAAUGUGCCUCCAAGUCCCUGGACAUCCACAAGCAGAGUCGUCCCUGCACGGUGCGGCAGAGCCUGCGCCUGCACCCGGCUCCAGUUCUUCAGAGGCAGAAAGGUGUGGACACAGAGGGUGUGUUCUUGGCUGGGAUCCUUAGGAGGAGAGAAGUGGCUGGCGCUAAAGGUGAGUGGAACACUGCCCCAGGAAGGUGAGGCUGUGGAAGGGCUAGAUUAACAUGCAGCCUUCAGUCUCGGGUUAGCUGAGACUUUUACUGGGUAUUUACCGGUUGCUUCCUAUAUACCCGAGACUGAGUCAAGCCCUGCUGACACAAAUAAAGCUACAUAAGAAAUGGCUGUACCCUCA
rnacentral:lncRNA from 1 species